rnacentral:lncRNA from 1 species
UUUGAAUUCAAUUAAUUAGCAUAUAGAGUAUUAUUAGUUUCAGAGGUAGAGGUCAGUGAUUCAUCAAUGGCAUAGAACACCCAGUGCUCAUCCCACACGUGCCUCCUUAAUGCUCGUCAUCCAGUUACCCUGUCCUCUCACCCCUCUCCCCUCCAGCGACCCUCAGUUUGCUUCCCAGAGUUAAGAGUCUCUUAUGGUUUGACUCCCUCUCUGAUUUCAUCUUAUUUUAUUUUUCCCUCUCUUCCCCUAUGAUCCUCUGUUUUGUUUCUUACAUUCAACAUAGGAGUGAAGUCACAUAAUUGCCUUUCUCUGAUUGACUUAUUUCGCUUAGUGUAAUACCCUCUAGUUCUAUCCAUGUCAUUGCAAAUGGUAAGAUUUCAAAUUUUUGGUGACUAAGUGAUAUUCCAUUAUAUAUAUAUAUAUAUAUAUAUAUAUAUAUAUAUAUAUAUAUACACUACAUCUCAAUAGAGUUCCUUUUUUUAUUGAUGAGUUGAUAUUCCAUGGUCUGGAUGUACUAAUUUUUUAACCAUUCAUCACUGAAGGGCAUUUAGAUACAUUUAGAUUCCUUUUUUUAAUGAGCUCAGUACCCAACGGGGCUCAAACUCACGACCCCACAAUCAAGAGUCACGUGUUCUGCUGACUGAGCCAGCCAGGUGCCCCUAUUUCUUAUUUUUAGCUAUUACAAAUAAAGCUGCCAUGAAUAAUCAUGUAUGUAUUUCGUGGGGAUAUUUCUCUGCAACAAAUGCCUAAGAAGGGCAGUCUCUGGGUCAUACAGUAAGUGUAUGUUUAGUUUUUUUUUAGGAAACUGCCAAACUAUUUUCCAGAGUGGCUGCAUCUUAGUAACAUUUUAUGCUUUUCUCUGUAAAUAUUUUGUUACAGUCUAUUUUUAUUAUUAUCAUAAGUGGAAGAUUUUUUUUAAUGAUACUUUGCUUGCUCUGAUGUUUAUAAAUGCAAUUGCUUUUUAUUGAGGUCGACUUUACACAAAAUAAAAUUAAUCAUUUUAAGGGUGCCUGGAUUGGCUCAGUUGGCUAAGCAUCUGCUUUCCACUCAGGUCAUGAUCCCGGGGUCCUGGGAGUGAGCCCCAUGUUGGCUCCCUGCUCAAUGGGAAGCCUGCUUCUCCCUCUGCCUCUACCCUCUGCUCAUGUCUCUCUGUCAAAUAAAUAAAAUCUUUUUUAAAAAUAAAUAAAAUUAAUAAUUUUGAAGUGUACGGUUCAGUGGAUUUUUAGUAUAUGCACAAGAUGUACAGCCAUCCCCAUGAAUUCCAGAACAUUUUCAUCACCCCAAAAAGAAGCUUUUACCCAUUAGCAGUCACUCCCCAUUACUCCCUCCGCCCCCUCAGACCCUGACAACUGUUAAUCCACUUUCUCUAUGGAUUUUUGUAUUUGGGAAAUUUCAUAUAAAUGGAAUCAUACAACGUGUGGCCUUUUGUGUCUGGCUUCUUUCACUGGGCAUCAGAUUUUCAAGGUUCAUCCACGUGUUGCAAUUCGUUUUUAAUAUUGAUUUGAUGUAGAAAUAUCCUGUACCUCUGUCAGAUUCCAUUCAUGGUUAAUUUCAUAUAUUAUUUGGGGCUUUCUCUGUAAACAAUCACGUCAUCUGCAAAUGAUGCCAGCUUUGCUUCUUCCUUUCCAAUCCUUAUACCUUGCGUUGUUGGUUUUUUUCCCCAUCUCUUACCGCCCCAUCUAGGACCUCAGGUACAAUAUUAAAUAGACACAUGGAUGUGAGAAAACUUGUCUUGCCCUGACUUUUAAGGAAUUUUGUCCAUUGUCCCUUUAAGAACCAUGUUUGUGUUGGGUUUUGUAGAUAAUCUUUAUCGGUUGAAGGAAGUUCCUUUCGAUUCAGUUUGCUAAAGCGUUUUUAUCAUAAGUAGAUGUUGAAACGUAUUGCCAGUGCCGGAAGGAUCGUAUGACUUUUCUCCCUUAAUUUAUUAACGUGACAGAUGGCAUUUAUAGACUUUCAGAUGUUAAACCACACUUGCAUUUCUAGAAUAAACCCCAUUGGUCAUGAGUUAUGUAUGCUUUUUUAUCCGUUGCUGGAUUUGUUUUGCUAACAUUUUAUUAGGGUCCUCGCAUUGAGCUUCACAAGUGGGACUGGUCUGUAAGGUCCCUUUGAAUGUACUAUUAAGUGGAAAAGAGCCAUCUCUGACCUAAGUGUCCCUCUCAGGUCCCUGUCUGCUCCCGCAGCUGGAGGAGGGUAGGGAGCCACCACCAGAUUCCCCGAGGUAGCUGCAGAGAUUCAGGACCUUGAGCUCUGGAAGGGUCCUCGAGGCUGUGACUCCCCAGCCCAGUCCAGGGGGUCCUGGGCCUCUCGUUGGAGAGGAAAGCUUAAGAGAAAUCUUCCCCUCCCUUCUUCUUCUGGUGGGGAUUGCCCUCCAGAGGAAGUGGCUGAGAAAGGCCCAGGGUCAGGGGUUAAUGACCCCAUUGUGCUAGGGCUGACGGGCUGGCAGUGGCAGCCCCAGGAAGAUCCCCUGCUCUGCUCUGGGCCAUCCUUCUAUAGAGGCUUCCAGGCUGGCCUUUGAUGACUGCUGAGGGCCACCCUCCUUGCCAUGGGGACCCGGGCCAGCCUCUUUGCUGGGGUCUGCUGCUGAGGCCCAGAACGUAGGCCUCUACGGUUCUGCUUCCCACCCACCCCCCUUUCCCAAGGGCGCUGGUCACACCUACCCCCUACCCCCUGACCCCUGCCUCUCCCCCAUCUCAGGCACCCUGUCCCUCUGGCGAACGACCACGUCCUCAGAAGUGACCUGAUGCAGUCCAACUAUCCCACAUUUGGGAUGGGAACCGGGUACGACCUGGUCUAGGCUCUCCUCGGGAGCUGCAGCAGGGGCACAGCCAGGUCCCGGGACUUCCCAUUCACACGUGCCCCUUCCCAGGGUGGGUGGACGCUGAGGUGAAUCAGGUGCAUCCUCCCUCCAGGGGCUCACAGGCUGGCAGGGAGGAGGUCAGAACGUGAAGAGAAAAGUAGAAGUGUGGGUACGCGGGUGGCUCAGCGGCUGAGCGUCUGCCUUCAGCUCAGGGCAUGAUCCUGGGGUCCUGGGAUCGAGUCCCACAUCGGGCUCCCCGCAGGGAGCCUGCUUCUCCCUCUGCCUGUGUCUCUGCCUCUCUCUCUGUGUGUGUCUCUGAUGAGUAAAUAAAUAAAAUCUUAAAAAAAAAAAAAAAGAAAAGAAAAGUCAAAGUGUGGCAAAUUCAGUAAGCACAGAGUACUAUGGGUGUCCGAAGAGGAACUCCUAGCCCAGCCAGGAGGUCAGGGAGGCUUCCAGGAAAUAAUGCUGGGCCAAUUCUAAAAGAGUGAGCCGAAGUUUGGCCAAAGAGAGUGGAUGCAGCAAGGAAAGGCAUUCCAGGCAGGGGGAACAGCAUAAGCAAAGGCACAGAGUAAAUCCAGCAUAGUGUGUGUGUGAACCACAGCAUUUCAGUGGUGAGAGGUGAGGCUAAGCAGGUCAGCGGGGCCAAGUCUUCCAGGGACUGCUAUGCCAUGUUAGAGGUUUACACUGGUAGUUUGUCACUCAAGUGGGGAAGAGAGCUGAGAGCCAGGUUCUAAUUGUGCCCCUGUCCUCAUUCAUCCAGCUCCCAGAGCAGCAGUGUGACCCAGGGCAGGUCACUUCCUCAUGAACAGCCUCCCACAGGCUGGCCCCCUCUGGGCUGCCUGGUCCCGUCCCCCAAGUGGAACCUGGAAGACCCCACUAGACGAGCACAGACACCCCUUCAGUGAGGCAGGCGAGGGACGGGGUGUGCAUAGGCUGUUCUCGGUUCCAGAUUGGAAGUAGGGUGUGGGGGACAGGAGCUUGAAAGAGAGGGGUUCAGGGUGAAUAGCAGGUCUGCCUUUUGACUGCAGCAUCAUCCACGACAGCAUCAUGAAGCCACAUCAGCCCUGGAUGACCUAGCGGGGACUUCCAUUACAGGCCAGAAGCAACCCCCUCGAUGUUAUUGGAUUUUCUGUUAUUUGUAGUCAAAAUGCCUUCCUAACCGAUCCAAGCUCCUAACCUCCAGCUGGAAAAUAUAUAAAUAUACUCCAAGAUCUUAUAUGUUCACAGAAGAAGAUUUUCCAGAGAAAUAGGACGCCUUCUUAAAGACAGGAUACAUGUCACACCUUCAUUUCAAAUAACUUUAAAAUCUGCAAGCAUUCAUUAGAAAUACAAUAAGAGACAAAGCACUAAAAAUGUGUAAAUCACUUGCAGUUCCAUCACCCAGAAAUAACAAGGUUAGCAUUUUGGUGUGUGUGUGUUGUUGUUUUUUUUUUUUUCAGGUUUUUUCCCUAUAUUCUAAAUUAAGUUGAGCUCACAGCAUGUCAUUUUUUCCUUUUUGCUUUUUAUUGAAUACGUAUGUAUUAUCUCAUCACAUCUUGGUUUUCACUUAAGAUUAUACCAAAAAUAUUUCCUUUGUCAUAUAAAAUUCUUCCUAAACACCAUUUUUUAAAAAAAGAUUUUAUUUAUUCAUGAGACACAGAGAGAGAG